UCUAAUAUGGCAGAAUAUAAGUGCAGUGAAUUUAAGCUUCACAAAUAAAGUUUAUACUUUUUUUAGAA
rnacentral:tRNA from 1 species